UCAAAAAAUUAACAUAAUUAAAUGUGUCUCACUCACGUUGAGAAGAUAAUUUAUAAUAAAUUAUUUUUGAU
rnacentral:tRNA from 1 species